rnacentral:misc_RNA from 1 species
AUGCAGGUGCAGCUGGACAUUCUCCUGAGCUAAAAAGCAUAUUCAUUUUAGUCCCCGUCAAACGGAUUAUUACUUUUUGCUGCAGCUAACAUAAAGGGAGUUUGACCGUAUUGGCUGACUGAUGCAGGAUUUCACAAGGGUCGGCAACGAUUCUUGUUAAACUCGAUCUCAAAUCAAGUAAGACUACCCGCUGAACUUAA